rnacentral:lncRNA from 1 species
CCUCCAGGGGCCUGCAGGGCUGUCCUUGUAAAGGAUCCUGUCUUCGGUUUAAAGAACUCAGUGUGCCCACGUACAAUUACAUAUGCAACAUUUGUGAACAACAUAUUCUCAAACCCAAGUCCACGCAUCUGAGGUCAGCAAUGCCAGCUAACCCUCACACAGGGCCUCCCACCUGCCAGGCACUGCGCGAAGCUCUUCAACUGUAUCAGCUCAUUUAAUCCUUCAACAACUGUAUUACAAGCUUGUCCAUGAAGGAGGUUGUUAUUCCCGUUCCUCAGAGAGGAGACGACACUCAAAGAGCUGUCAAGCUGGCAGCCCAGUGUUUCGUUGGUUCCAAUCCCAGGCGCGGACGUGGCACUGCUCAUCAAACCACGCUGAGGCAGAGUCCCACAUGCCACAACUAGAAGGACCCACAACAAAGAAUAUACAACUAUGUACCAGGGGGCUUUGGGGAGAAAAAGGAAAAAAAUAAAAUCUUUAAAAAAAAAAAAAAGUCACCAUGGCUAAUCUCCAGGUGUUAGAUUAUAGCUAAUUUGUACUUUCUUUUUCACACAUUUUUUGUAUUAUCCAAGUUGUUGACAAUGAGAUUAUAUUACUUUCAUAACC